rnacentral:rRNA from 1 species
GACGAACGCUGGCGGCGUGCUUAACACAUGCAAGUCGAACGGUGAAGCGCCUUCCUUUUUGGUGGGUGUGGAUGAGUGGCGAACGGGUGAGUAACACGUGAGUAACCUGCCCCCUUCUUCUGGAUAACCGCAUGAAAGUGUGGCUAAUACGGGUAUUUUGGGUUCUGUGGCUUGUGGGGUUGGGAAAGAAUAUGGUUUGGGGGGGGGAGGGCCCGCGGCCUAUCAGCUUGUUGGUGGGGUGGUGGCCUACCAAGGCGGUGACGGGUAGCCGGCCUGAGAGGGUGGACGGUCACACUGGGACUGAGACACGGCCCAGACUCCUACGGGAGGCAGCAGUGGGGAAUAUUGCACAAUGGGCGCAAGCCUGAUGCAGCGACGCCGCGUGAGGGAUGGAGGCCUUCGGGUUGUGAACCUCUUUCGCCAGUGAAGCAGGCCUGCCUCGUUUGUGGGUGGGUUGACGGUAGCUGGAUAAGAAGCGCCGGCUAACUACGUG